rnacentral:rRNA from 1 species
UACGGGGGGAGCAAGCGUUGUUCGGAUUUACUGGGCGUAAAGGGCGCGUAGGCGGCCAGCGCAAGUCAGUUGUGAAAACUCGAGGCUCAACCUCGAGAUGUCGGCUGAAACCAUCUGGCUAGAGUCCGGAAGAGGAGAAUGGAAUUCCCGGUGUAGCGGUGAAAUGCGCAGAUAUCGGGAAGAACACCUGUGGCGAAGGCGGCUCGUCUGGGACGGUACUGACGCUGAGACGCGAAAGCGUGGGGAGCAAACAGG